CAAAGCCUCAUGAAUUUGGGAAAAACUGGUUUUCCAAAGGACAAAAUGCCAGGCAGAUUGGGGGGAGGGGAGAUAUGGACUCCUUGUAAACAUCUAGAGCCUCAAACUUCAUCAGAAUCUGCUUCUGGAGAAUUCAGUCUGCAAUAGUGUAUGCAUCUCUAAAUAGAUAGAUUCUGAAUCAAUGUGUAUAUGUAUAUUCUAGAGCAAGUUCAUCUAGAAGAAAAACUCAUGCUUCCACCAUUUGUUAAAGGAAGACGGUAAGUUAUCACAGAGGACUGUACUACGACUGAAAUGGUUGAAUCCAUGAAAGCU
rnacentral:lncRNA from 1 species